rfam:Mogibacterium sp. CM50 ctg120007703388, whole genome shotgun sequence.
GGACGCUUAGCUCAGCUGGGAGAGCAUCUGCCUUACAAGCAGAGGGUCAUAGGUUCGAGCCCUAUAGCGUCCA